CGGCGUGCUUAACACAUGCAAGUCGAGCGGAAAGGCCCUUCGGGGGUACUCGAGCGGCGAACGGGUGAGUACACGUGAGUAAUCUGCCCUUGGCUUUGGGAUAACUACCGGAAACGGUGGCUAAUACCGGAUACGACGCACUCAGGCAUCUGAUGUGUGUGGAAAGUUUUUUCGGCCAGGGAUGUGCUCGCGGCCUAUCAGCUUGUUGGUGGGGUAAUGGCCUACCAAGGCUUCGACGGGUAGCCGGCCUGAGAGGGUGACCGGCCACACUGGGACUGAGACACGGCCCAGACUCCUACGGGAGGCAGCAGUGGGGAAUAUUGGACAAUGGGCGGAAGCCUGAUCCAGCAACGCCGCGUGAGGGAUGACGGCCUUCGGGUUGUAAACCUCUUUCAGUACCGACGAAGCGCCGAUGAUGGUGGUGACGGUAGGUGCAGAAGAAGCACCGGCCAACUACGUG
rnacentral:rRNA from 1 species